AGUGAACGCUGGCGGUAGGCCUAACACAUGCAAGUCGAACGGCAGCACAAUAAGAGCUUGCUCUUACGGGUGGCGAGUGGCGGACGGGUGAGGAAUACAUCGGAAUCUACUUUUUCGUGGGGGAUAACGUAGGGAAACUUACGCUAAUACCGCAUACGACCUACGGGUGAAAGCAGGGGAUCUUCGGACCUUGCGCGAUUGAAUGAGCCGAUGUCGGAUUAGCUAGUUGGCGGGGUAAAGGCCCACCAAGGCGACGAUCCGUAGCUGGUCUGAGAGGAUGAUCAGCCACACUGGAACUGAGACACGGUCCAGACUCCUGCGGGAGGCAGCAGUGGGGAAUAUUGGACAAUGGGCGCAAGCCUGAUCCAGCCAUACCGCGUGGGUGAAGAAGGCCUUCGGGUUGUAAAGCCCUUUUGUUGGGAAAGAAAAGCAGCAGGUUAAUACCCCGCUGUUCUGACGGUACCCAAAGAAUAAGCACCGGCUAACUUCGUG
rnacentral:rRNA from 1 species